rnacentral:misc_RNA from 1 species
UAAAUGCUUAGUUGAGUUGAGUUAAGUUUUAUAUAACCAAACAAAAGGCAUGCAAAAUUAUAUUGUAAACUAGAAAGCGUCUCAUUGGUUGAUCAUAGCACCUAACAAGAGAGGCUCGUCUGCCAUUGGGUGAUAUGUAAAUUCAUUGGCAUGUCACGGUGGACAUGAUGGAGGUUGAUGUAGACUUGCUGACAGUGCAGGUGAAGCUGCAAAGGCCCUUUAGAGGUGAUAGGGUGAUGAUGAACCAUGGAAAGGGAGGCCAUGAGGGUGAGCUUGAGAGAGGGAUAGAGGGUGGCACAUGCAAAUGCAGUAGGCAAGGGAGAGACAUGAGGGUGGGUAGAAGCAAUACUAUUGAAGAAAGGGAAGAAGAUUAUAGAAGGAUGAUUAAGGGAAAGGGAGGCUAUGAGGGUGAUGAUGAGUCCAAGAAAGGAAAGCAUGAAAUUGAGCUUGAGAGAAGGUUAGGCAGGGACUGAAAUCUGGAUUCAAGAGAUUGAAAUCUAAAAGGGUCAAAGGGGUAGGGUUAGGGAAUAAAAAACUUUUGGUCUUGGAUGGGCUCUUGCUAAUUGGGCUUGAAGCAUGUGUUUGGGUGAGCUAAUAUAUGGCUUAAAGUUGGGCCUUCAAACAAAAUGCAUAUGCAAGCCACCUUAAGUUAGAAUAGGGUAUGGGCUAGGCGUACAACUAUAUGGGCUUCAAAAUUUCGGUCGACUUGGUUAGUUCAGUUUUUUUGAUAGAAUUAAUCAAAUUGAAAAACCAAAGUUUUUUCAAGAAUAAUAACUAAAACUGAACCAAACUACCGAAAAACUGAAUUAAAAUGGUUUGGUUUAGUUUUUUGGUUAUAAUCAAUAUGUGCUCACCUCUAUAUACCAGUCAUAAUAUUUUAUCCAUUUGCAUAAAAGCAUAUUUCAUUGAUUCUCAUUAGGCAAAUUAUGAAGUUACUGUUAAGAUAAUUAAAAAAAUAUCUUGUUCGUAUUUCAAGAGAGUAUAAGUAGGUGCAGAGCUUGUAGCAUAGUGUGUGGUAUCUUUGCAGUUCUAAAAUUUGUGCAGCCAUAUUGGAGUAUAUUUGGGGACUCUUUUUACGUGUCUUUUCUGUUAUAUAGUUGUGAACAAGACAGGCAGAAAAAGUUGCAACAAUUUACAAAUUAGCCAUACUUUCAUUCAAUUUUCAAACACAUGUUCCAUUUGAUGUCUUUUGUUCAUCCAGAUGCUGACUUUAAAGGCUGCUAUUAGGCCUUGGCAAAAGAGCAUAGCUUGAAGGAGAAUUUUUUUUUUCCCCUUUGUGAUAUAAAAUCCUCCUACUCUUAGAUGAGAGGUCGCAGAUUGGUUGAAGAGCUUUUUUUUUAAGAAAUGACUUUUGUAUUAAAAGAAGGAAUACAAGGAUAGGGAAAAGAGCUUUGCUUUAUACUAGUGAAACAUUUCAACCUGCUAGUUCCCAAUUUCUUCUUGUUUGGAAGAUUCUGUUCAUCAGUUCCUGGAUAAAAGGCAUCUAGUUUCUUUUGAAAAUGUUUAUGAGCCCAAUGGAGGAAACAAGGGAGAAAAAAAAUGAAAAAUCUGAAUUUGUGGAGGUUUAUUGUGAGCUAAUGGAUUUAUAAAUGUUUCGUCACCAAAAUCUAGUGUUCUCUGUGGUUGAUAUUUUAUUCUCCAUUUAGUAUUUAUCAGCUUAAUUUAUAAUUUUUCUAUCCCUCCCCAAAGGUUAUAUUUUUUUGUUAAAUUUAACUUUUGGCACAAAAUUUUCCUGUAUGUAUAAAUCCUAAUAGCGCUUUGCAUGGUAACAAUUUGCACUGAUGUAUUUAACUGCUUAGUCAGCAUGGAACUUUCAGUAUAUUUUUAUAGAAGGUUCAGUUUGCUUUUUUUUUUUU